GAGUUUGAUCUUGGCUCAGGAUGAACGCUGGCGGCGUGCCUAAUACAUGCAAGUCGAGCGAACAGACGAGGAGCUUGCUCCUCUGACGUUAGCGGCGGACGGGUGAGUAACACGUGGAUAACCUACCUAUAAGACUGGGAUAACUUCGGGAAACCGGAGCUAAUACCGGAUAAUAUAUUGAACCGCAUGGUUCAAUAGUGAAAGACGGUUUUGCUGUCACUUAUAGAUGGAUCCGCGCCGCAUUAGCUAGUUGGUAAGGUAACGGCUUACCAAGGCAACGAUGCGUAGCCGACCUGAGAGGGUGAUCGGCCACACUGGAACUGAGACACGGUCCAGACUCCUACGGGAGGCAGCAGUAGGGAAUCUUCCGCAAUGGGCGAAAGCCUGACGGAGCAACGCCGCGUGAGUGAUGAAGGUCUUCGGAUCGUAAAACUCUGUUAUUAGGGAAGAACAAAUGUGUAAGUAACUAUGCACGUCUUGACGGUACCUAAUCAGAAAGCCACGGCUAACUACGUGACAG
rnacentral:rRNA from 1 species